rnacentral:rRNA from 1 species
AACAAACGCUGGCGGCGUGCCUAACACAUGCAAGUCGUACGAGAAAGUCGGCUUCGGCCGAUGAGUACAGUGGCGCACGGGUGAGUAGCGCGUGGGUAAUCUGCCCCCCGGUCAGGAAUAACCCGCCGAAAGGCGGGCUAAUACCCGAUAACACUGACGCUCCGCGGAGCGUCUUUCAAAGAAGGCCUCUGUUUUACAAGCUUUCGCCGGAGGAUGAGCCCGCGUACCAUUAGCUAGUUGGCAGGGUAAUGGCCUACCAAGGCUACGAUGGUUAGCUGGUCUGAGAGGAUGGCCAGCCACACUGGAACUGAGACACGGUCCAGACUCCUACGGGGGGCAGCAGUGAGGAAUCUUGCGCAGUGGGGGAAACCCUGACGCAGCAACGCCGCGUGAGUGAGGGAGGCCUUCGGGUCGUAAAGCUCUGUCAGAUGGGAAGAAAUGGAUGGGGGCUAAUAUCGCCCAUCCUUGACGGUACCAUCAGAGGAAGCACCGGCUAACUCCGUG